AGAGUUUGAUCCUGGCUCAGGAUGAACGCUGACAGAAUGCUUAACACAUGCAAGUCUACUUGAUCCUUCGGGUGAUGGUGGCGGACGGGUGAGUAACGCGUAAAGAACUUGCCCUGCAGUCUGGGACAACAUUUGGAAACGAAUGCUAAUACCGGAUAUUAUGCGAGUCUCGCAUGAGGUUCGUAUGAAAGCUAUAUGCGCUGCAGGAGAGCUUUGCGUCCUAUUAGCUAGUUGGUGAGGUAACGGCUCACCAAGGCGAUGAUAGGUAGCCGGCCUGAGAGGGUGAACGGCCACAAGGGGACUGAGACACGGCCCUUACUCCUACGGGAGGCAGCAGUGGGGAAUAUUGGACAAUGGACCGAAAGUCUGAUCCAGCAAUUCUGUGUGCACGAUGAAGUUUUUCGGAAUGUAAAGUGCUUUCAGUUGGGACGAAGAAAGUGACGGUACCAACAGAAGAAGCGACGGAUAAAUACGUGCCAGCAGCCGCGGU
rnacentral:rRNA from 1 species